AAGUCGUAACAAGGUUUCCGUAGGUGAACCUGCGGAAGGAUCACUAAACACGUAUCCAACGUUAAACCCCCCGUGAACCUUCAGUGCGCUCGCGGCUCGCGCCCAGUGACCCGGUCGCCGGCCGUGUCGGCCUCUAGCGAUCGUGACUGCGCCAUUCGUACAGAGCUGGUGACACUUUCAGACACCAACAAGCAGAGGAAUGCCAGGCCACUUGCCUCACGCUCAAGCACAGUCUACGCAGAAGUCCCUGAAUCAAAACUGUUCGGCAAUGAUUUACCAGGGAUUGCUACCUUUUCUAAGAAAGUCCCCUCGUCACCUUUGCAUGAAAACGGGCCUGCGCUUAAUUGUGCGGCCACCAAACUCGAACAACUGUUAACAAUGGAUAUCUUGGUUCUC
rnacentral:misc_RNA from 1 species